AUAUUCUAUUUAUGAAGGAGAUGAAAGUUUCCGGGAAUUAAGUCCAGUUUCAUUUCAAUAUUGGGUGAAAAUGGUGAUACCAAAGCCUUCUUAAUAGAGAUUUCCUGGACAGAAACAUAUUCCCAAACACCUCUAAUUAUAUCUAUGAACGCUUUUUUUUUAACACCACCAUAUUAUCAGCUGUAAAGCAGAGCAUAUUAGCCAAGUUACAGGAAGCUGUGGAAGUGAAUCUUGGAAUUGCUAUGACCUAUACGUUGUUUGAAUAUGCCAAAGACAAUAAAGAGCAGUUCAUGGAGAAUCAUCAUCCCAUUAAUUCUACAACAUCUAUAAGCAAUAUCACCUCUGUUGAAACUCCUGAUAUAGUUCCAUCAAAUAAGAAAAAAGACAAAAAAAGAACAACUUUCUAAAGCCCAGAAACAUAAACUGGCAGACAAAACAGAUCACAAAGGGGAACUUCCUCCAGGCUGGAACUGGGUUGAUUUCAUGAAGCAUUUAAGCAAAACUGGCUCUAAGGAUGAUGAAUAACACUCGGAAUUUGAGAAAAGGAAAGAACAUCCUUUAAAAAGUAAACUAGGUUCAACAUCUUUCAAUAACUAUUUUCUGGUAUUGAGGUGACUGUUUUAUAAAAUGAAGGGUUUUUUGUACAUUUCUUACAUUAAAAAAUGUUGUCAGUGGAAAGUUCAUGAAAAGAUCUGUUUGUAUUACAUUUUUUCACAAACUUGCCUUAAUAAAAGGUGAAAAUGUUACUGUUUAGUAUACUUUAUGAAGCCUAUUAAGCUUUAUAAAUGGAUAAAUAUGGGAAAUAAUAAUCAGUGUUAAUUUGUAUGAUCUUCUUGUAGGGGCUAUGAGCCCUUUUCAAAUGUCUUCCCAAUACAGCAGAAUUUUACAUAUACAGUUAUUCUGU
rnacentral:lncRNA from 1 species